ACGAUCGGGAGCCUCGAGCGGCGAGCCUCGCCCGAGCGUCGGAUGCC
rnacentral:sRNA from 1 species